rnacentral:rRNA from 1 species
ACGAACGCUGGCGGCGUGCUUCACACAUGCAAGUCGAACGGAAAGGCCCUGCUUUUGUGGGGUGCUCGAGUGGCGAACGGGUGAGUAACACGUGAGUAACCUGCCCUUGACUUUGGGAUAACUUCAGGAAACUGGGGCUAAUACCGGAUAGGAGCUCCUGCUGCAUGGUGGGGGUUGGAAAGUUUCGGCGGUUGGGGAUGGACUCGCGGCUUAUCAGCUUGUUGGUGGGGUAGUUGCUUACCAAGGCUUUGACGGGUAGCCGGCCUGAGAGGGUGACCGGCCACAUUGGGACUGAGAUACGGCCCAGACUCCUACGGGAGGCAGCAGUGGGGAAUAUUGCACAAUGGGCGGAAGCCUGAUGCAGCAACGCCGCGUGCGGGAUGACGGCCUUCGGGUUGUAAACCGCUUUCGCCUGUGACGAAGCGUGAGUGACGGUAAUGGGUAAAGAAGCACCGGCUAACUACGUG